UGGUCAAGUUAUUAAGGGUGCAGGGCGGAUGCCUUGGCACUAGGAGCCGAUGAAGGACGUGAUAAGCUGCGAUAAGCUUCGGGGAGUUGCACGUAAACUUUGAUCCGAAGAUUUCCGAAUGAGGAAACUCACUUAGAGUAAUGUCUAAGUAUCAUUAAGUGAAUACAUAGCUUAAUGAGGGGAACUCAGGGAACUGAAACAUCUAAGUACCUGAAGGAAGAGAAAGAAAUUCGAUUCCGUAAGUAGCGGCGAGCGAACGCGGAUUAGCCCAAACUAAUAAAGUUUUCUUUAUUGGGGUUGCGGACAUAUCAUAACGAAGAGGUAUCGUAAUUGAAGAGGUUUGGAAAGACCCACCACAGAAGGUAAUAGUCCUGUAUGUUAAACGAGAAGACUUUAGAUAUGAUCCAGAGUACCACGGGACACGUGAAACCCUGUGGGAAGCAGGAGGGACCACCCUCCAAGGCUAAAUACUACCUAGUGACCGAUAGCGUAUAGUACCGUGAGGGAAAGGUGAAAAGAACCCCGGGAGGGGAGUGAAAUAGAACCUGAAACCCUGCACUUACAAGCUGUGGAAGCACAUUUCUUGUGUGACCGCGUACUUUUUGUAGAACGGGCCAACGAGUUACGUUAAGUAGCAAGGUUAAGCACUUAAGGUGUGGAGCCGUAGCGAAAGCGAGUUUUAACUGAGCGUUCAGUUACUUGACGUAGACCCGAAACCGGGCGACCUACCCAUGAGCAGGAUGAAGCGAAAGUAAAAUUUCGUGGAGGUCCGAACCCACGAGCGUUGAAAAGCUCGGGGAUGACUUGUGGGUAGCGGUGAAAUUCCAAUCGAGCCCGGAGAUAGCUGGUUCUCCCCGAAAUAGCUUUAGGGCUAGCCUCAAGGUGAGAGAUACGGAGGUAGAGCACUGAAUAUCCUAGGGGGUAUUGCACCUACCGAAGACUAUCAAACUCCGAAUGCCGUCAUCUUAUACUUGGGAGUCAGACUGUGGGUGAUAAGAUUCAUAGUCGAAAGGGCAACAGCCCAGAUCGUCAGCUAAGGUCCCUAAAUGUAAGUUAAGUGGUAAAGGAUGUGGGAUUGCACAGACAACCAGGAUGUUGGCUUAGAAGCAGCCACUCAUUCAAAGAGUGCGUAAUAGCUCACUGGUCGAGUGAUCCUGCGCCGAAGAUUUCCGGGGCUAAAACUUACUACCGAAGCUACGGCAUCAGUAAUGAUGGGUAGGGGAGCUUCCCAUACGGGUUGAAGCAUGACCGUAAGGACAUGUGGACAGUAUGGGAGUGAGAAUGUUGGCAUGAGUAGCGAGAUGUGGGUGAGAAUCCCACAGGCCGUAAACCCAAGGUUUCCAGGGGAAGGUUCGUCCGCCCUGGGUUAGUCGGGACCUAAGCUGAGGCCGAAAGGCGUAGGUGAUGGACAACAGGUUGAUAUUCCUGUACUACCGAUAACCGUUUGAGAGAAGGGAUGACACAGUAGGAUAAGCUAAGCACACUGUUGGUUAUGUGUGCCCAAGCAUUGAGGCAGUCAAAGUAGGCAAAUCCGCUUUGAUAAUGCUGGGAUGUGAUGGGGAGCGAAAUUUAGUAGCGAAGUAGCUGAUUUCACACUGUCAAGAAAAGUCUCUAUCGAGGUUAAAGGUACCCGUACCGCAAACCGACACAGGUGGGUGAGGAGAGUAUCCUAAGGCCAGCGAGAGAACUGUUGUUAAGGAACUCGGCAAAAUGACCCCGUAACUUAGGGAUAAGGGGUGCCACCAUCAGGUGGCCGCAGAGAAUAGGCCCAAGCGACUGUUUACCAAAAACAUAGGUUUCUGCUAAGUCGCAAGACGAUGUAUAGGAGCUGACGCCUGCCCGGUGCUGGAAGGUUAAGGGGAUCUGUUAGAGCAAUCGAAGCAGUGAACUUAAGCCCCAGUAAACGGCGGCCGUAACUAUAACGGUCCUAAGGUAGCGAAAUUCCUUGUCGGGUAAGUUCCGACCCGCACGAAAGGCGUAACGAUUUGGGCACUGUCUCAACAACAGACUCGGUGAAAUUGUAAUUCCGGUGAAGAUGCCGGAUACCUGCGACAGGACGGAAAGACCCCAUGGAGCUUUACUGUAGCUUGACAUUGGGUCUUGGUACUACAUGUACAGGAUAGGUGGGAGGCUUUGAAACCAGGACGACAGUUUUGGCGGAGCCAUCCUUGGGAUACCACCCUUGUAGUACUGGGACUCUAACCAUAGGCCAUGAAUCUGGUCUUGGGACACUGUCAGGUGGGCAGUUUGACUGGGGCGGUCGCCUCCCAAAAGGUAACGGAGGCGCUCAAAGGUUCUCUCAGUACGGUCGGAAAUCGUACGUAGAGUGUAAAGGCAAAAGAGAGCUUGAUUGCAAGACAUACAGGUCGAGCAAGGAUGAAAAUCGGACUUAGUGAUCCGGUGGUUCUGCGUGGAAGGGCCAUCGCUCAACGGAUAAAAGCUACCCUGGGGAUAACAGGCUUAUCUCCCCCAAGAGUCCACAUCGACGGGGAGGUUUGGCACCUCGAUGUCGGCUCAUCACAUCCUGGGGCUGUAGUAGGUCCCAAGGGUUGGGCUGUUCGCCCAUUAAAGUGGUACGCGAGCUGGGUUCAGAACGUCGUGAGACAGUUCGGUCCCUAUCCGUCGCAGGCGUAGGAAAUUUGAGAAGACCUGUCCUUAGUACGAGAGGACCGGGAUGGACGUACCUCUGGUGUACCAGUUGUCCUGCCAAGGGCAUGGCUGGGUAGCUAUGUACGGAAUGGAUAAGCGCUGAAAGCAUCUAAGCGCGAAGCCAACUUCAAGAUAAGAUUUCCCACCGCAAGGGUAAGACCCCAGAAAGACUAUCUGGUUGAUAGGUCGAAGGUGUAAGUGCAGCAAUGUAUUUAGCUUAUCGAUACUAAUAGGUCGAGGACUUGACCAAU
rnacentral:rRNA from 1 species